CAGCCGCCACGGUAAUACGAAGGGUGCAAGCGUUACUCGGAAUUACUGGGCGUAAAGCGUGCGUAGGUGGUGGUUUAAGUCCGUUGUGAAAGCCCUGGGCUUAACCUGGGAAUUGCAGUGGAUACUGGGUCACUAGAGUGUGGUAGAGGAUAGUGGAAUUUCCGGUGUAGCAGUGAAAUGCGUAGAGAUCGGAAGGAACAUCUGUGGCGAAGGCGACUAUCUGGGCCAACACUGACACUGAGGCACGAAAGCGUGGGGAGCAAACAGGAUUAGAUACCCCAGUAGUCCCUGUCUCUUAUAA
rnacentral:rRNA from 1 species